AACGAACGCUGGCGGCAGGCUUAACACAUGCAAGUCGAACGCUCGUAGCAAUACGGGAGUGGCGGACGGGUGAGUAACGCGUGGGAACGUGCCCUGAGGCACGGAAUAACUGCGGGAAACUGCAGCUAAUACCGUAUGAGCCCCUAACGGGGGAAAGAUUUAUCGCCUUGGGAGCGGCCCGCGUCGGAUUAGCUAGUUGGUGGGGUAACGGCCUACCAAGGCUUCGAUCCGUAGCUGGUCUGAGAGGACGAUCAGCCACACUGGGACUGAGACACGGCCCAGACUCCUACGGGAGGCAGCAGUGGGGAAUCUUGCGCAAUGGGGGCAACCCUGACGCAGCCAUGCCGCGUGAAUGAUGAAGGCCUUAGGGUUGUAAAGUUCUUUUGCCCGUGACGAUGAUGACGGUAACGGGAGAAUAAGCUCCGGCUAACUUCGUGCCAGCCGCCGCGGUAACAC
rnacentral:rRNA from 1 species